AUGCUCACUUAGGCACCACAUAUACUAAAACUGGCACAAUACAAAGAGGAUUAGCAUUGCUCCUGCACAAGGAUGACACUCAAAUUCAUAAGGCAUUCCAUAGUUGU
ensembl:snRNA U6 U6 spliceosomal RNA